UACGGGGGGGGCAAGCGUUGUUCGGAAUUACUGGGCGUAAAGGGCUCGUAGGUGGCCAAGUAAGUCAGACGUGAAAUCCCUCGGCUUAACCGGGGAACUGCGUCUGAUACUGGAUGGCUGGAGUGCGGCAGAGGGGGAUGGAAUUCCGCGUGUAGCAGUGAAAUGCGUAGAUAUGCGGAGGAACACCGAUGGCGAAGGCAAUCCCCUGGGCCUGCACUGACGCUCAUGCACGAAAGCGUGGGGAGCAAACAGG
rnacentral:rRNA from 1 species